rnacentral:tRNA from 2 species
GUUCCCAUCGUCUAGCGGUUAGGACAACGGGUUCUCAUCCCGUAAACAGGGGUUCGAUUCCCCUUGGGAAUGCCA